UUGAUUGAUGGUGCUUGCACCUGAUUGAUUUUGGUCGCCAACGAGUGGCGGACGGGUGAGUAACACGUAGGUAACCUGCCCAGAAGCGGGGGACAACAUUUGGAAACAGAUGCUAAUACCGCAUAACAACGUUGUUCGCAUGAACAACGCUUAAAAGAUGGCUUCUCGCUAUCACUUCUGGAUGGACCUGCGGUGCAUUAGCUUGUUGGUGGGGUAACGGCCUACCAAGGCGAUGAUGCAUAGCCGAGUUGAGAGACUGAUCGGCCACAAUGGGACUGAGACACGGCCCAUACUCCUACGGGAGGCAGCAGUAGGGAAUCUUCCACAAUGGGCGCAAGCCUGAUGGAGCAACACCGCGUGAGUGAAGAAGGGUUUCGGCUCGUAAAGCUCUGUUGUUAAAGAAGAACACGUAUGAGAGUAACUGUUCAUACGUUGACGGUAUUUAACCAGAAAGUCACGGCUAACUACGUGCCAGCAGCCGCGGUAAUACGUAGGUGG
rnacentral:rRNA from 2 species